UACGGAGGGGGCUAGCGUUGUUCGGAAUUACUGGGCGUAAAGCGCACGUAGGCGGAUUGUUAAGUCGGGGGUGAAAUCCCGGGGCUCAAACCCGGAAUGGCCUCCGAUACUGGCAAUCUUGAGGUCGGGAGAGGUGAGUGGAAUGGCGAGUGUAGAGGUGAAAUUCGUAGAUAUUUGCCGGAACACCAGUGGCGAAGGCGGCUCACUGGCCCGAUACUGACGCUGAGGUGCGACAGCGUGGGGAGCAAACAGC
rnacentral:rRNA from 1 species